rnacentral:rRNA from 1 species
AUGGCGUCCUCCUCCGCUCGCCGGCUCGCCGCCCACUGGCACUGGGUCGUCGACGCCCUCGCCGGCGACGAGGCCCUCGACUUCUCCCUCGUCCAAGCGCUGGUGGGCGCCUCGCCGGAGCCGCUCGCGGGCGCGCCGGAGGCAACGCGGGAGAGGCUCGCGCUCCGAUGCCUGCAGGAGGUCGUCUCCGUCGCCGCCCAGGGCGAGGCCCCGGCUGCGGCGGCGGCGGCGGCGUGGGUGGGGGGCAGGACGAUGCUUAGGGUUGAUGCCGCCCGCUCCUGCGAGGAGUUGCUGCUGGAGCUACUCGGACAGGUUGGUAGUUCAGGAAGCCUGGAGAAAGAUAUGGUUCUGCCUUUUAUCAAGGAUAUCCAAAAGUUUAUAUGUACCAAAACACCGGCUUUACCAGAAACUUCUUUUGAGUUGCUUAGAGAAGUGAUCCCAGAUUUCGCAUCUAUGGUCCCACCGUCCCCAGUGCAGCAGGGUGGCAAGAACAAUGGCAAUGACCAGUCGUUCUGCAGCAUCAGCCCUGAUCAUGUAAACACAGAGAGGCAUGGGUGCCAUACAGAUAGUUCUGAUUUUCAGCGACAGAAGGAUCCUAUGGAGCGAACUCCAGAUUUGCAUGAACCAUCUAGGCUGUACAAUAGGUGUUACGAUCGCCCUCAAGAAGAUACCAUUGGUGUCAGUGUCAGGUCCGCACAAAUGAGUCCAAGUAAAGAUAGUAGAAAAAUGUCCAUUACAACUGAGCCUGCUUCAGCUAGCUGCAGUGCUGCUUUGCUCCGAAGUAAUACUGAACUUAUGUCAAAGCAGGAUGCGGUGGAGACUACCAUGUCCCAAGAAAAGAGUCCUACUACCAUUCUUCAGCAAGAAUCCUGUGGAGACAAGUACAGAAAUCCAUGCCACGAUAAUGAUGGAGAGAGACCACAUGGUGAUGACACCAACAUUCAUUUAUCAAAGAAUCUCAGUCAUGAAGGAUUGACCAUGCAGGCUAUGGUGGCUCCAGAUUCUGACAGAACUAAUGCUUUAUGGACAAAUACAUUUGAAACAAAUCACUUGCCUGAGUUUGUUGCUGCAGAUGUUACAGGCGUGAUGACAGAAUUACAUGGCAGAAAAACCCAAAGGAAUUCACUGCAACAUGACAGUGGCGAGACAGCAGUUCAAGUUCUGGAUGAGGGUAGUGCCAGGAUUCAGCUAGUGGAAAAGGGUCCUGGUCAUAAUGAACUGAAUCUGCAAACUGCUGGUGUUGUACCUUCUGUAAGCUGCAACAGGGCUGUUCAAGGAGAUAAAUCUGAAACCAACCUUCAACAAGAGAAUGCUACAGGGCAUUCUAAAAUAUUUGAGAAGAAUGGCGUUAAGGCUCAUCUCGAGGUCAGUUGUGCUGACAAAGCUAAUCCAGCACUACUUGAUGAUGUCAACAUCUUGGAAAAUAAUACAUCCGGUGGUAGGCAGACUGCUCUAGAUUCUCCUUGCUGCAAUGUGCCGUCCUCUAGUCAGGAUAAAGAUGCCAAUGGUUCCAUCAAGGGCCUUACGGAGCAAGAUUUGUGCAUAAAAUGUGGUAAAGAUGGACAGUUGCUGAAAUGUAGCAGCUGCUCAUUAGCCGCCCAUGAUGGCUGUUUUGGUUCACCAGUGACUUUUGAUGCUUCUGGCCAGUUUCAUUGCCCUGUAUGCUUCUAUACUAAAGCUACCGAAGCAUAUCAAAAGGCUAAAAAAGCAUAUUUCGAAGCUAGGAAGAACCUAUCUGCUUUCCUUGGCACAAAGCAAUUCCCAAAGCUAGAUGAACAAUCUACUGGAAAACAACAAAUAGCUACCAACAGCAAGGAUCACUUGAAUGAGUGUAAUACAUCCAAAAGGCAAGGUAACCAUCAAUCUGAAGCGGAUAAUCUUUCUCAUAUGGAUGAAGAACCUAGUCUGCAGAGGAAUAAGCAGAGAACAAAUGAUACUAGUGUUGCGUGUCCUGAGGAUCAGUUGAAUGGGUGUAAUACAUCCGAAAGGCAAGGUAACCAUCAGUCUGAAGCUGACAACCUUUCUCAUAAGGAUGAAGAACCUGGUGAGCAGAGGAAGAAGCAGAAAACAAAUGAUACAAGUGAUGCAUGUCCUGAGGAGGAUCAGUUGAAUGGGUGUAAUACUUCCAAAAGGCAAGGUAACAAUAAGUCUAAUGCAUAUAACCUUUCUCAUAAGGAUUUAGAACCUGGUCAGCAGAGGAAGAAGCAGAAGACAAAUGCGACAAGUGAUGCUUGUUGUGAGGAGGUAGUCACUGAAAAGGCAUCUUUUGGUCUGAAUUCUAAUAUUGCACCAAAUAAAGAUUCUGUACUCCAAAAUAAAAGAAAACAAGUUCAUGUUACAGAGCAUGAGCAGUCUGUGGAAAAUGCAGAAGCCCAUGAAGAUGGUAACGGCAAUUCAUUUUGUGAACCGCAACAUUCAUCUCAGAACAGAUGUAGUCCUGUUGUCAGUCAGAAUGUUGAGGCUGAUAAACAUGUCAGUCUUACAACUUCUCAUGAGUGUGAAAGUUCCGAUGAAAUAGAAGCUACGUCUUCAAAUGAUUCUGGCAAGCAGUUGUCACCCCCUUGGCGAAACAUGAGACACCACAAAGCAAAAUUUCAAGAAAAGGAGACUGUAGUAUCAAAAAAUUCUAAAAAGGCAUUGGGAUGCCAGGAUCAGCACAUGCCUUCACCAUCAAGAAAACGGAAGUAUGCACCACCCAAGCGUUACUGUAAUCCUGUUGCACCAGCUGGAAGGCGCUCAAAGCUCUGUUGGACAGAAGAAGAAGAGCAAACUUUGAGGGAUGCAAUGUUAAAAUUCACCCCAAAGGACGAUGAGCUGAUUCCAUGGAUUCAGAUAUUAGAAUAUGGUAGGAAUGUGUUUCACAAGGCACGCCUCCCGAGUGAUCUGAGAGUCAAAUGGAGGAAUAUGAAGAAGAAAUCAGAAUCCUAG